GACGAACGCUGGCGGCGUGCUUAACACAUGCAAGUCGAACGGAAAGGCCCUGCUUUUGUGGGGUGCUCGAGUGGCGAACGGGUGAGUAACACGUGAGUAACCUGUCCUUGACUUUGGGAUAACUUCAGGAAACUGGGGCUAAUACCGGAUAGGAGCUCCUGCUGCAUGGUGGGGGUUGGAAAGUUUCGGCGGUUGGGGAUGGACUCGCGGCUUAUCAGCUUGUUGGUGGGGUAGUGGCUUACCAAGGCUUUGACGGGUAGCCGGCCUGAGAGGGUGACCUGCCACAUUGGGACUGAGAUACGGCCCAGACUCCUACGGGAGGCAGCAGUGGGGAAUAUUGCACAAUGGGCGGAAGCCUGAUGCAGCAACGCCGCGUGCGGGAUGACGGCCUUCGGGUUGUAAACCGCUUUCGCCUGUGACGAAGCGUGAGUGACGGUAAUGGGUAAAGAAGCACCGGCUAACUACGUG
rnacentral:rRNA from 1 species